GGAGAUGUACCCAAGAGGCUGUAAGGGAGCGGUUUCGAAAACCGCCAGGCUGGAAGACCGGCACCUGGGUUCGAAUCCCAGCGUCUCCG
rnacentral:tRNA from 1 species